UUGUAGGCGGUUUGUCGCGUCUGCUGUGAAAGACCGGGGCUUAACUCCGGUUCUGCAGUGGGUACGGGCAGGCUAGAGUGUGGUAGGGGAGACUGGAAUUCCUGGUGUAGCGGUGAAAUGCGCAGAUAUCAGGAGGAACACCGAUGGCGAAGGCAGGUCUCUGGGCCAUAACUGACGCUGAGAAGCGAAAGCAUGGGGAGCAAACAGGAUUAGAUACCCUGGUAGUCCAUGCCGUAAACGUUGGGCGCUAGGUGUGGGGCUCAUUCCACGAGUUCCGUACCGCAGCUAACGCAUUAAGCGCCCCGCCUGGGGAGUACGGCCGCAAGGCUAAAACUCAAAGGAAUUGACGGGGGCCCGCACAAGCGGCGGAGCAUGCGGAUUAAUUCGAUGCAACGCGAAGAACCUUACCAAGGCUUGACAUGCACCGGACGACUGCAGAGAUGUGGUUUCCCUUUGUGGCUGGUGUGCAGGUGGUGCAUGGUUGUCGUCAGCUCGUGUCGUGAGAUGUUGGGUUAAGUCCCGCAACGAGCGCAACCCUCGUUCCAUGUUGCCAGCGGGUUAUGCCGGGGACUCAUGGGAGACUGCCGGGGUCAACUCGGAGGAAGGUGGGGAUGACGUCAAAUCAUCAUGCCCCUUAUGUCUUGGGCUUCACGCAUGCUACAAUGGCUGGUACAGAGGGCUGCAAUACCGUGAGGUGGAGCGAAUCCCUUAAAACUGGUCUCAGUUCGGAUUGGGGUCUGCAACUCGACCCCAUGAAGUCGGAGUCGCUAGUA
rnacentral:rRNA from 1 species